AUGGCAACUAUUAUGAUGGCCUCGGCUAUGGCUGUGGCUAUGGUGGCCUGGGCUUUAAUCUUGACUGAGAUUGUGGCUGAUAUGACUGCUGCCACCCAUCUUACUUAUGCAGAUUCUAGACUUAUGGAUUCUACUGAGAAAUUUCUGAAGUCAGUUGUGAAAACUCUGGAUGAUGAACAAGCAGACAAGAAGGAAAUUUUAGCAGCUUAUUGGAAAAAGUGGACAGACUCUUACACCUGAUAGACCAGACAGGCAUCUGAAGCAUCUCAGAAAAGGGCUGAAAGCCCACUCUGCGUUCUGCCUGCGGUUUUCACGGGUGUGAAUACGGGUCUCCCAUUUCUUCUGCCCUUCCUCUGCUUCUGGGAAAGUCCGGAUGGGGGGUUGGGGACGUGGAAUUCCCCUAAGCAAUCAAUCCCCUCCAGACAAUAGUCGCCUUAUGGAUUCUUCUUCAGUACUGUAGGGCCAGCUGUAACCCUUCCUCGGUUCAGCGAGUUCCUUUUGAUAAAAGACAGGAAAGACUAUCUUGGGCUAGGGAAGAAGAAAAGAGGCUGUGUCCUGCAUUCAGGUCUUGUUUGCUCAUCCCAUAGCACAUAAAUUUAUUUAUUUAUUUAUUUGAAAGGCAAUGUUACAGAGAGGAAGAGAGAGGUCUUCCAUCCGCUGAUUCACUCCCCAAAUGAGGAUGCAACAGCUGGAGUCGCGCCAAUCCAAAGCCAGGAGCCAGGAGCCUCUUC
rnacentral:lncRNA from 1 species